AGCCGGGCGGCGCUCACUGGGGCCGGGACCACCUGGUUAGAGGCCUCAUAUCGGGGCUGGUACCCCCCAUCCAGGACCACUUGGAAGCCCGGCUUCCCAGGAACGCGGGACCUGCCACCCUCUGAGACCCAAAUCUGGAGUCAGGGGCUGCGUAUCUGCCGGUCGCAGUGCUCUGAGGGCCCGCGACCCUCGGCCCCAACCCCCGGGCCACCGCGGGGGCCUCACCCUUCCCGGUCAUUCAAAGGAAACAGCCCCAAGCCCUCUCGCAACGCGGAUCCGCAGUUCCGCAGGCGCGAGCCGCGCGUGACCGGCAAGGAGGCGGGGCCUGGCCCGCGGAGUCUUUCCCCGCUGUGAUUGGCUGAGGGGCGGGACGACGGGCCGGAAGCCACGGAGGGCCACGUUGCGGAUGCCGACUUCCCUAGUGCGGUUCCUGCCUAGUCUGGUUCCCCCCGCCGCCGCGGGGGAGGUGGUCCGCGCUGUGGAGACAUGGAUUUAGAUGCUGUUACAAAGCAGUCAGCAUUACAUGCCAAGCCUGAUGGACUCACUCUUCAAUAUGGGACUGCUGGAUUUCGAACGAAAGCAGAACAUCUUGAUCAUGUCAUGUUUCGAAUGGGAUUAUUAGCUGUCCUGAGGUCAAAACAGACCAAAUCUACUAUAGGAGUCAUGGUAACAGCAUCACACAAUCCUGAGGAAGACAAUGGUGUAAAGUUGGUUGACCCUUUGGGUGAGAUGUUGGCACAAUCCUGGGAGGAGCACGCUACCUGUUUGGCAAACGCUGAGGAACCAGAUUUGCCGAGAGUGUUGGUGGACAUCGGCGAGAAAGCGGCUGUGAACCUGCACCAAGAUGCCUUCGUGGUGAUCGGUAGAGAUACCAGGCCCAGCAGUGAGAAACUUUCACAGUCUGUAAUAGAUGGUGUGACUGUUUUAGGAGGUCAAUUCCAUGAUUAUGGCUUGUUGACGACGCCCCAGCUGCACUACAUGGUGUACUGCCGAAAUACCAGCGGCCGGUAUGGAAAGGCAACCAUAGAAGGUUACUACCAGAAACUCUCCACAGCCUUUGUGGAACUUACCAAACAGACUUUCUGCAGUGGAGAUGACCAAAGAACACUUAAGGUUGACUGUGCGAACGGCAUAGGGGCCCUGAAGCUGAGAGAAAUGAAACACUACUUCUCCCAGGGGCUGUCAGUUCAGCUGUUUAACGAUGGGACCAAAGGGAAGCUCAAUCAUUUAUGUGGGGCUGACUUUGUGAAAAGUCACCAGAAACCUCCACAGGGAAUCGAAAUGAAGUCCAAUGAAAGAUGCUGUUCCUUCGAUGGAGAUGCAGACAGAAUAGUUUACUACUACCAUGAUGCAGAGGGUCAGUUUCAUCUCGUGGACGGAGACAAGAUAGCAGCACUCAUUAGCAGUUUCCUUAAGGAACCCCUGUUGGAGAUUGGAGACAGUUUGAGUCUCGGUGUCGUACAAACUGCAUAUGCCAAUGGAAGUUCAACACGGUACCUGGAAGAAGUUAUGAAGGUACCUGUCUAUUGUACUAAGACUGGUGUAAAACACCUGCAUCGCAAGGCUCAGGAGUUUGACGUCGGAGUUUAUUUUGAAGCAAACGGGCACGGCACAGUUCUGUUUAGUAAAGCUGCUGAAAUGAAGAUAAAACAACUAGCAAAAGAAUUGGAAGAAGAUAAGAAAAGGAAAGCUGCUAAGAUGCUUGAAAAUGUGAUUGACUUGUUUAACCAGGCAACUGGUGAUGCUAUUUCUGACAUGCUGGUGAUUGAGGCAAUCUUGGCUCUGAAGGGCUUGACCGUACAGCAGUGGGACGCCCUCUAUACAGAUCUUCCAAACAGACAGCUCAAAGUUAAGGUUGCAGACAGGCAAGUUAUUAGCACCACAGAUGCCGAAAGACAAGCGGUUAAACCUCCAGGACUCCAGGAGGCCAUCAAUGAGCUGGUGAAGAAGUACAGGCUUUCUCGAGCUUUUGUCCGGCCCUCUGGCACAGAAGACAUAGUCCGAGUCUAUGCAGAAGCGGACUCGCAGGAAAAUGCGGACAGCCUUGCAUAUGAAGUGAGCUUGGCAGUAUUUCAGCUGGCUGGAGGGAUUGGAGAAAGACCUCAACCAGGUUUCUGAGGACAAUUUUUAUAUUUUUAGAAACUAGAUUUUUAAAAACUUUUUACAGGAUAAUAGUACUGCCAUUAUUGUGACAGGUUCAAACACAUUUAUCAUCAUAAAUGUUUAGACUGCACCUUACUGGAUUAUUUCUAGAUCUGAUUAUUCAUUCUUUAGAAAUAGGUAAGCUCUUAUACUUGUUAAAUUUAGUUUUUUAAAAAACUGAAAUUUACCUCUAAUAUCAGUCACACUAAUGUAAAAUAUUGGAGCUUAAGUAUAUGAUUCAGUCAUUAACUUUAUAAUAUAUGCAAGGAAAAAUUCAUGAAGGCUGCUAGAAAAUUAAACUUUAUUACCAAUUCCUUUUGAUGUCUUUUCCGUCGUCGUUACCUCAGUCGUUUUGCAGUACUAAUAUUCGCCAUUGUUAAUACAAAUGAGGAGGCUGGAGAAGACUUAAUAUAACCAAUUUUUUCACAGCAGAGUCUCCAGAACAAUUCUUAGAUGACUUACCUCUCCUCAGUUAACAUCACCAGGAAUUCAGAGUUGUGACUAUGCAGGCUGAACACACCUCUACUCCGUACCGAGGUUGAGAUGCUCGUGCUACACUUACAGGGAUGUGUGGCCCAGGCUUCAAUUAUUCUUUACUCCUCUUAGUGAAGCUUCAUGUCCUUGUUGGGGAAGGCGUUUGAGUAGAGGACGGGGCUCCCUGAGUGUCCUGCGCAUCGGCUGGUGACUUUGCUGUUGAAGACUUGGCUGAGCACGUUGAAGAACGGCAGGAGCUGCUCAAGGCUGCGCACCGUGCAGAUGGUGAGCAGCAAGUGCCCCGGCUCCCAGCCCAGCGCUCUCCCUGAGUUGUCCUCCUCCGGAUUUUUCUGCAGAAAACAAAAAGGCGAUUGUUACCAACAGACGAUGCAGUAUGUGAGAAAACUUAAAAGAAUAUAAGCAUCAGCAAACAGAGUUAAGAAAUGAAUACAAAUGAUGACAUUAAGUCUCCAUUCCAGACUUGCUAAAACGUUUGCUUCUGACUGAGGCCUUCUGGUGCCAAUUAUUAAUUGUACAUUGAGGGUCUAACACUGUAGUAAUAUUUUCCAACUUGAAUGCACAAGUAAGCUUAGUUAUUAGCUGAAUUAGUUUUGCAUAGGGACUGUCAAAUCCAAAAGUUCAUGUUGUGCUUUGCAUAUACUCAAAAAGCUCCCAGAUUUCUGGAUCCCCACUAAUGUAGCUGAGGACUAGGUCAAAAUGACUGAAGAAGGGACAGAGAGUCUUAUACAUUUCACUACUAGUAAGUCAGUCAAUUACCUUGCGGCCAAAUGGCUUAAACUUGCCACAGACAGCAGCAGUCCACAGUGAAUCAUUACUAUCAGCACAGAGAAAGGAAAGGAACUCUCAGGAGAGACCCUGCCACGUGCUUCUGUGUUGUGCUAAACCACAUGGGAGCAAAGCUGGACCUGGAGUCAGAAUAACGCCAGGGUCAGGGCCCCGGCUCUGCCACUUGCUUACUGUGGGUGUCCUGGGCAAGUACAGAACAGUUCCUCACUUACAAGAUGGGGCGAUGAAGAGAAUGUAUGUGAAAACUCUUGUCAACUGCAAUAAACACAACAAUUUACAUACUUCAAGUAGCUAGUUUGAGAAGCCAGCUAAACUGUACACACACAGUUGUAGACAUCAGUCUAUCUAGAGAAAGUUCUGAGAGAACUGAAGAUGUGUGAACUGGGGCAGAAUCAUAGAUAUGAAAACACACUGAGUAAAGAUAAUGAAAACAAACAAUGAACUAGAUAGAAAAAACUAUCAAGUGGGACUUAGGAAGCAGAAUUAUUGUCUGCCAUAUUUGUUGACAAAUGGAGUUUGCCUUCUAAGAUGAGAUGUUGCUGAGAAACUUUCAUUGUUUACUUAAUAUUUUAAUAUCACUAGUUUCCUAGUGGAGAAAACAGAUGCAAAAUCCAGCUUAUUUUCCUGUGUGUGCUUAUAAAGUUUGCUUAUUUUAAAAUAAAAUCCUGCUUUAAA